rnacentral:rRNA from 1 species
CCUGUAUCCUAAGGCGUUUGAGACAACUCUGGUGAAGGAACUCGGCAAAUUAGUACCGUAACUUCGGGAUAAGGUACGCCCUAUGUACGUGAUGACCCUCGCGGUCAAAGCGGAAUAGGGUCGCAGUGAAGAGGGGGUUGCGACUGUUUAUCAAAAACACAGCACUCUGCAAACACGAAAGUGGAAGUAUAGGGUGUGACUCCUGCCCGGUGCUGGAAGGUUAAUUGAUGGGGUUAGCCGUAAGGCGAAGCUCUUGAUCGAAGCCCUAGUAAACGGCGGCCGUAACAAUAACGGUCCUAAGGUAGCGAAAUUCCUUGUCGGGUAAGUUCCGACCUGCACGAAUGGAGUAACGAUAGCCCCACUGUCUCCAUCAGAGGCUCAGUGAAAUUGAAAUCGCUGUGACGAUGCAGUGUUCCCGCGGCAAGACGGAAAGACCCCGUGAACCUUUACUAUAACUUUACACUGGAUUUUGAGUUUGUUUGUGUAGGAUAGGUGGGAGGCUUUGAAGCCAGGACGCUAGUUCUGGUGGAGCCAACCUUGAAAUACCACCCUGAUAAACUCGGAAUUCUAACCUCGUCCCGUAAUCCGGGACAGGGACAUUGUAUGGUGGGUAGUUUGACUGGGGCGGUCUCCUCCCAAAGAGUAACGGAGGAGUGCGAAGGUAACCUCAGCGCGGUCGGAAAUCGCGCUUCUGAGUGCAUAGGCAUAAGGUUGCUUGACUGCGAGACAAACAAGUCGAGCAGGUACGAAAGUAGGUCUAAGUGAUCCGGUGGUUCUGUAUGGAAGGGCCAUCGCUCAACGGAUAAAAGGUACUCCGGGGAUAACAGGCUGAUACUGCCCAAGAGUCCAUAUCGACGGCAGUGUAUGGCACCUCGAUGUCGGCUCAUCACAUCCUGGGGCUGUAGCAGGUCCCAAGGGUCUGGCUGUUCGCCAGUUAAAGUGGUACGCGAGCUGGGUUCAGAACGUCGUGAGACAGUUCGGUCCCUAUCUGCCGUGGGCGUUCGAGAUUUGAGAGGAGUUGACCUUAGUACGAGAGGACCGGGUUGAACGUAUCUCUGGUGUUCCGGUUGUCACGCCAGUGGCAUCGCCGGGUAGCUAAAUACGGACGGGAUAACCGCUGAAAGCAUCUAAGCGGGAAGCCCACCUCAAGAUGAGAUCUCGCGGAGCUUCGAGCUCCCUUAAGAGCCCAGGUAGACUACCUGGUUGAUAGGCACCAUGUGGAAGUGCAGUAAUGCACGUAGCUAAGGUGUACUAAUUGCUCGUGAGGCUUGACCAA